AUGCAUGGAGCAUGAAGGUGACAACAACAUGCAAACAGCUCAGCGACCUAGUAUAGGUCUUCAUAGGAUCAGUCUUGCAGUGAAAGCAGAGUAAGAAACAAUGCCAGGAAGACAGUUAACUUUGCAGUAAUACUGAGGUAACAAUUAACAAUCCUAGUUGUUUAUAAAUUGCUGUUACUGCAACUGGUUGUGAAGAUAGAAUCUGUAUGUGGUGGUCUCCAAAUGCUUAGGUUUCCCGAUUAUAAGAAUUUUAAUAAGAAAGAAACAAGUCUGAUUCUACAAAUUGUUAUAUAAAUGCGACAUAGGUGGUUCGGUUGAGUCUGUGCAAGAUUUCAGGCAUUUAAAAUAUCCCUGCAACAUGGAGGUGAGAAAAUCAUAUUCUCAGAAUGAUAAUUCAAGUCUUUAAAUGAAAGCCAUCAGUUGUUGUAAGCAGAGCAAGAACUAAACGCAAGAGAAGCGUGAAACUGUUUCCAGAUUGUGAAAAUGUCCGACUCAGGAAAUUGCUAAAAUACUAUGGGGUUACAAUUGUAUCUUCACGAGACUCCUGACUUGGAAUAUGGCACAUAUCAAUGGUUACCCUGAUUUUGGCCUAACAAUAACAGCUGAGGAGUUGUACGAGAUGAGGAAAUAAUUUGGAAACGCUGAACACCGAACUGACGAACGGAUUGAUCAUCAGAAUCAGCAGGAAAUUUUGGAGCAGUUACCGAGCCUCGUCGAUGGCCGCCGGCUGGUAUCUACGAAUCGCGGAGGUCACGUUUAAUAGAUCAGGUCAAAAGUUCGCAUCACUAUGUACGUGUAUGUAUGUGUAUAACUUCCCGUUAAAGGUCCAUUUACCAACAAUUUUAUUUUUCAUAAUAUUUUUAUCUGUCUUUUCGUAAAUGUAUAUUAACAAACCUAAAACUUUAAUAUAUUUUCACGAAAUGGUUUGUCGACAAAGUAUUCACUGAACAUUUCAAUAAUUUUAAAGGUGUAGUAUUUCUGAAUUUCUUUACUAUUUAUUAGAAGGCGUCACACACAAAAUCGAUGCAGCAUACAAAGUAAAAAACACAUAAAAACUUUUUUUUUUAAAUCUAA